GGUUCACAAAGGGGGCCCGAGAGGGGCGAAGGGGGCUGCCCGGGGCACGGCUCAUCCCCACACCUGCGCGGGGGUUGGGGGAAGAAUGUGGCCGGCGCAUUCCUCUGCUGGGGCCAGCGGGGGAGAACUUCCCACGUCGAGACUGGGUGAGGGGCUCAGCCAUCCGGCAUCUCGGAGGAGGGGGUCAAGCGCCUGGCCGGGCUCCUGCUCCGCGCCUCCCGCCUCCAAGGUCACUUCAGCCUCCCUGAAGACCGCCCGGCACGGCUCGGAGGCCGCGCACUGCAGCCAGCAAACCUGCGCCCGAGGGCAGAGAGUGAAGGAGGCUGGGUCCAGGCGUGCCCGGCCCUGCACUCCCCACACUGCAGGGUCCUCACGGGCCUUCCGGGACUCCCUUGGCCCCAGGGAGCGCAGCCCCGCGCUCUCCCCGACGCCACUGCCCCAUGCGGACCCCGCCCGCCCCCCAGGGAGCGGUCCCGGUCGGGGCCAGGGCGAGGCUGUGGAGUACCUGGAGAAGGAGGAGAGACGCGAGAGGUCCACGAGGGAGCCCCAUGGCUGCAGAGAGAAGGGUGAGGCAGCUGCCGCGACGGCGGGCCGGUGCUCCGCUCAGCUCUUGCCCCUUUGAGCACCGCAGCCCCCGGGAGCCAGCGGGAGGAGGCCAGGUGAGCGCAGGUGGGUGCUGAUUGGUCCAGCGCCACGAGGUCCCGCCCCCUCGCAGGUGGGACCGAUGCGGGUGCGGUUGAGGCCCCAGCGAACCCCUCCUGGCCUCCCGGAUGCCCUCCUGUGCUCUCCUGGCUUUUCUGGAGCUGUUCUCUGCAAGGACUCAGCCUCUGUCUCGCAGUUCUGGGUUAGAGGAGAAAAGAACACCCAGUGCACUCCUCAGCCUCCUCAGUACGGGAAGAGAAAUGUUUCCUUGCCUUGCGGCUGCAGCGGAAAAAAGUGGAGACACAUCUGAAGUCGACUGAAAACGGAGGCUCCGCAUUCAUUAUCCCCCGGAGGCGCUGUUAUCCCAAAGCUUUGAAGCAGGCCCGUGCGUCCUCCCACACGCGGCUACAGCGGGGCCGCCCAAGCCUCUUUCUCCACCUCCCGUGCCAGCCCGCCGGGGAGGAUCCUCCGGGGUAUAAAACUAGCAGGUCCCGAAGGACCGCGUUUCUGAAUUGGAUACAACUUCCUCUUUUUUCUUUUUUUUUUUUUUUUUGGAGACAGGGUCUCGCUCUGUCGCCCAGGAGUGCAGUAGCGCGAUCUCGGCUCACUACAGCCUCGACCUCCUGGGCUGAAGCGAUUCUCCUCCCUCAGCUCCCGCUGAGACUACAGGCUUGCGCCACCACACCCGGCUAAUUUUUAAAAAUUUUUUGUAGCGAUGUGGUGGGGCGGGGGGAGGGUGGAGGGUCACCCUAUGUUGCCCAAGCUGGUCUCGAACUUGUGGACUCAAGCGAUCCUCCGCCUCCCAGAGUGCUCAGGUUACAGGCGUGAGCCGCCACACCCGGACCGCUUCUUCCAUUUCACAGCUAAACAAAGGGAAGCUAGUCGAGAAAGUCCCAGAGUUUGGAAGCUGUAGUGGUGCCAAAGGGUGCGAGCUAAGAGGGUUGUUAUUAGUCUCAUAAUCUCCAGCACCCCUACCCCCCAUAUAAAUAACACUUUCUCAACUUUCUGUAAAAUGUAAAUAAAGACAAUUUUUAAAACGCA
rnacentral:antisense_RNA from 1 species